GUGGGGAAUAUUGCACAAUGGAGGAAACUCUGAUGCAGCAACGCCGCGUGGAGGAUGACGCAUUUCGGUGUGUAAACUCCUUUUAUAUAGGAAGAUAAUGACGGUACUAUAUGAAUAAGCACCGGCUAACUCCGUGCCAGCAGCCGCGGUAAUACGGAGGGUGCAAGCGUUACUCGGAAUCACUGGGCGUAAAGCGCGCGCAGGCGGCUUUGUAAGUUGGAUGUGAAAUCCUAUGGCUCAACCAUAGAACUGCAUCCAAAACUACUUAGCUAGAGUCUGGGAGGGGAAGAUGGAAUUAGUGGUGUAGGGGUAAAAUCCGUAGAGAUCACUAGGAAUACCAAAAGCGAAGGCGAUCUUCUGGAACAGUACUGACGCUGAGGCGCGAAAGCGUGGGGAGCAAACAGGAUUAGAAACCCGUGUAGUCC
rnacentral:rRNA from 1 species